AAUGGAAUGACGUUCAAUGUAACAGCACUCAGGCCUUCACCUGUCAUGGUGAUCUGAAAUCUCAAUCAACCACUUAACCAGGUAUAUUGCCAGCACGAACAUUAAAGGGAUAGAAAAAAAAGAAAGAAAGAAAA